rnacentral:rRNA from 1 species
AGAGUUUGAUCAUGGCUCAGGACGAACGCUGGCGGCGUGCUUAACACAUGCAAGUCGAACGGAAAGGCCCUUCGGGGUACUCGAGUGGCGAACGGGUGAGUAACACGUGGGUGAUCUGCCCUGCACUUUGGGAUAAGCCUGGGAAACUGGGUCUAAUACCGAAUACACCUCACUGGCUGCAUGGUUGGUGGGGGAAAGCUUUUGCGGUGUGGGAUGGGCCCGCGGCCUAUCAGCUUGUUGGUGAGGUUACGGCUCACCAAGGCGACGACGGGUAGCCGGCCUGAGAGGGUGACCGGCCACACUGGGACUGAGAUACGGCCCAGACUCCUACGGGAGGCAGCAGUGGGGAAUAUUGCACAAUGGGCGCAAGCCUGAUGCAGCGACGCCGCGUGGGGGAUGACGGCCUUCGGGUUGCAAUCUCCUUUCAGCACAGACGAAGCGCAAGUGACGGUAUGUGCAGAAGAAGGACCGGCCAACUACGUGCCAGCAGCCGCGGUAAUACGUAGGGUCCGAGCGUUGUCCGGAAUUACUGGGCGUAAAGAGCUCGUAGGUGGUUUGUCGCGUUGUUCGUGAAAACUCACAGCUUAACUGUGGGCGUGCGGGCGAUACGGGCAGACUUGAGUACUGCAGGGGAGACUGGAAUUCCUGGUGUAGCGGUGGAAUGCGCAGAUAUCAGGAGGAACACCGGUGGCGAAGGCGGGUCUCUGGGCAGUAACUGACGCUGAGGAGCGAAAGCGUGGGGAGCGAACAGGAUUAGAUACCCUGGUAGUCC